rnacentral:rRNA from 1 species
CCUACGGGUGGCAGCAGUGAGGAAUAUUGGUCAAUGGACGAAAGUCUGAACCAGCCAUGCAGCGUGAAGGAUGACUGCUCUAUGGGUUGUAAACUUCUUUUAUACGGGAGUAAACGCAGGUACGUGUGCCUGUCUGCAUGUACUGUACGAAUAAGGAUCGGCUAACUCCGUGCCAGCAGCCGCGGUAAUACGGAGGAUUCGAGCGUUAUCCGGAUUUAUUGGGUUUAAAGGGAGCGUAGAUGGGUGGAUAAGUUAGUUGUGAAAGCUUGCGGCUCAACUGUAAAAUUGCCUUUGAUACUGGCAGUCUAGAGUACAGUUGCGGUAGGCGGAAUGCAUGGUGUAGCGGUGAAAUGCUUAGAGAUCAUACAGAACUCCGAUUGCGAAGGCAGCUUACUAAGCUGCCUCUGACAUUGAUGCUCGAAAGUGUGGGUAGCAAACAGGAUUAGAUACCCUUGUAGUC